AGUGACUUAGGAUAACCCAGACCAAGAGCCUUCAAAGCUCUGAGCAGGGGUGAAAACCCCCUAGUCCCUG
rnacentral:tRNA from 1 species